rnacentral:rRNA from 1 species
UGGGGAAUUUUGGACAAUGGGCGAAAGCCUGAUCCAGCAAUGCCGCGUGUGUGAAGAAGGCCUUCGGGUUGUAAAGCACUUUUGUCCGGAAAGAAAUCCUUGGCUCUAAUACAGUCGGGGGAUGACGGUACCGGAAGAAUAAGCACCGGCUAACUACGUGCCAGCAGCCGCGGUAAUACGUAGGGUGCAAGCGUUAAUCGGAAUUACUGGGCGUAAAGCGUGCGCAGGCGGUUUGCUAAGACCGAUGUGAAAUCCCCGGGCUCAACCUGGGAACUGCAUUGGUGACUGGCAGGCUAGAGUAUGGCAGAGGGGGGUAGAAUUCCACGUGUAGCAGUGAAAUGCGUAGAGAUGUGGAGGAAUACCGAUGGCGAAGGCAGCCCCCUGGGCCAAUACUGACGCUCAUGCACGAAAGCGUGGGGAGCAAACAGGAUUAGAUGCCCUGGUAGUCCACGCCCUAAACGAUGUCAACUAGUUGUUGGGGAUUCAUUUCCUUAGUAACGUAGCUAACGCGUGAAGUUGACCGCCUGGGGAGUACGGUCGCAAGAUUAAAACUCAAAGGAAUUGACGGGGUCAUAGCUGUUUCCU